rnacentral:rRNA from 1 species
GACGAACGCUGGCGGCGUGCUUAACACAUGCAAGUCGAACGGAAAGGCCCUGCUUUUGUGGGGUGUUCGAGUGGCGAACGGGUGAGUAACACGUGAGUAACCUGCCCUUGACUUUGGGAUAACUUCAGGAAACUGGGGCUAAUACCGGAUAGGAGCUCCUGCUGCAUGGUGGGGGUUGGAAAGUUUCGGCGGUUGGGGAUGGACUCGCGGCUUAUCAGCUUGUUGGUGGGGUAGUGGCUUACCCAGGCUUUGACGGGUAGCCGGCCUGUGAGGGUGACCGGCAACAUUGGGACUGAGAUACGGCCCAGACUCCUACGGGAGGCAGCAGUGGGGAAUAUUGCACAAUGGGCGGAAGCCUGAUGCAGCAACGCCGCGUGCGGGAUGACGGCCUUCGGGUUGUAAACCGCUUUCGCCUGUGACGAAGCGUGAGUGACGGUAAUGGGUAAAGAAGCACCGGCUAACUACGUG